rnacentral:rRNA from 1 species
GUCCUGGCCCUAAACGAUGAAUGCUUGGUGUGGCGGGUAUCGAUCCCUGCCGUGCCGAAGCUAACGCAUUAAGCAUUCCGCCUGGGGAGUACGGUCGCAAGGCUGAAACUCAAAAGGAAUUGACGGGGGCCCGCACAAGCGGUGGAGCAUGUGGUUCAAUUCGACGCAACGCGAAGAACCUUACCCAGGCUUGAACAGCGAGUGACCAGUCCCGAAAGGGACCUUCCGCAAGGACACUCGUAGAGGUGCUGCAUGGCUGUCGU